CAAAGGAUAGUUUAAGUAAGAAUCCUGGCUUUGGGAGUCAGGGGUAAGAGUUGAAGUCUCUUUUCUUUGA
rnacentral:tRNA from 1 species